rnacentral:rRNA from 1 species
UACGUAGGGUGCGAGCGUUAAUCGGAAUUACUGGGCGUAAAGCGUGCGCAGGCGGUUUUGUAAGCCGGAUGUGAAAUCCCCGGGCUUAACCUGGGAAUGGCAUUCGGGACUGCAAGGCUGGAGUGCGGCAGAGGAGACUGGAAUUCCUGGUGUAGCAGUGAAAUGCGCAGAUAUCAGGAGGAACACCAGCGGCGAAGGCGGCGCUCUGGGCCGGAACUGACGCUGAGGAGCGAAAGCGUGGGUAGCAAACAGG